rnacentral:tRNA from 1 species
GCCGCCGUAGCUCAGGGGUAGAGCACCUCCUUGGUAAGGAGGUGGUCGGUGGUUCGAUUCCACUCGGCGGCU